rnacentral:sRNA from 1 species
GCUGGGUGCGGUGGUGCACGCCUGUAAUCCCAGCAACUCCGGAGGCUGAAGCAGGAGGAUUGCAAGUUCGAAGCCAGCCUCAGCAAUUUAGGAAGACCCUGUCUCAA